CACUGUCAGGGGUUCAGGAGCAGAGGCAAGGGCAAGGGAGGAAACAGAGAGCGAGGGGGAGGAGGCAGAAGAAAAGAUGAGUGAUGACGACGACCCGAGAUCUCCGAGUCUUUCCAGUGAAUCAGAAGAUUCACAGAAAGGAGCACCAGUGGCCAGGGCAAGGGGGGAGCCUAGGGGGACACCCCAGGAAGAUAGAGCCAGAGGGGACUCAGAGGGGAGCAGUUGGAAAUCGGGACCAACGUCACCGCCAGAGAGCAGGGAAGAGGAAGGGCGCCAGGGAUCAAGCGCUGGCAACUCACAACAGGGGGGAGGGCACGAGUCAGGAGUGGCCACACCUCCAUCGGGGAGCGAAGAAACGGUCAGACGGAAGGUGGAAGGUUGGGCGCGCGCGCCAAGUUCAAAUGCACAGGAAGGUGGCGCAGUAGGCAGCCCGGAAAGGGAGCCAGGUCCUAAAGCCCGCCGAAAGGAGGGAGAAGAGUCAGGGGGGUC